CUUUUAUGUAAUGAUGUUUACUUUGAAUUUCUAUUAGUUCACACACACACUCCAUCCAUGCUUUUGUUCCGGCCCUCCGGUCCAGUUUAAGAACCCACUGUGGCCCUCGAGUCAAAAAGUUUGCCCACCCCUGCUCUAAGAACUCCUUGCUUUUCAGUUUUCCCAUCCAUGGAUGAGUUCCUUAAAAUAGACUGCCCUUUUUUGGAUCAGUAUGCAUUUAUGACUUUCUUUUGUUUAAUAUUACGAGAUACAGUCAAACUACUGUGUAAAGGUAUCGUUUUUAACUGCAGGAUGGCCACUCUCAUGUAUGAAGGAAGCGAUUAUUGGGCACGUGAUCACACCGUGAGGCAAAAGAAAAAUACCGAUACUGUUUUUAUUUAAAAUUGAUAGUUUGUUGGUCGUGGUUUUUCUGCAUUAACUUCAAUUUUAUCCAAACGGCCACCCACAGAAAAUCAGAAACAGCCCUCCCUAAGCACAAACCACUCUUUUAAAAGACCAAAUCACAAGUCUUAACAGGUCUACUGACUCUGCCCUAAGGGAGGAAAGCUGGGAGACCUACCGCCAGGAUGACGGCUCACCUGGCAGGUAGCUGGAAAGGCCCAUUCUGGGUCUACGUUCAGAUAAACAUCUACACUUAAACCACCUUAAUCAUCAGUUCAAAGUGGAGUUGGAGGAAUCCCCCUCCAAAUGAGUCAGACUUACGUGAAGGUGCUUGGGGUCUAAAGCCCAGGUAGUUAAUUUUUCAUUCUUAAGACAGGAAGUGUGGGGUGGAGAAUUCCUAUUGGCUUCAGUUUUGCUCUGUGUAGCCCAAAGACUAGCUAGAUGCCUUUUGGUCACUUGGGCAAGAUUACACAGAAGCCAGGUGAAGUCUUGGCCACAGGGUCUAAGCCAGCCUCCUUCAGUUGGAGAAGGUGGAAUCUCGCCUCUCACACAAGGUCAGAAUCCGUGUUCACAGCUGAAACCAUUGUUGGUGCCACUGCUGGAGAAACUUGGCCAACCUGCCCAUCUAAGGUAAAGGCUCUACCUCUGACCACUGAGUUCACUCUGUACACGAAUAUACUUGUUACCCUCACACCAUGUGCUAACAAGGAAAAAGGUGACACAAUCGAAUGAAUUAAAAGUUUAAUUCUGAACCAUUUUUAUAACCGCAUUUUCUCUUGAAGCAUUGAGUCACAGCAGGUUACAACAACUUUGGGAUAAAAGGCAACUGGUAAACUGUCCAAAACAAGGUUCCAAAUAACACCUCUUACUGAUUUACCCUACCCAUACAUAUCCCAAAUAAAGUUUUCGAUCAAAAACAUGAAAUAGAUCCACCUGCUUAUUUUAAGCAUAUUAAAAAGGAAACUAAUUGGACCAUUUCUAUUUGUCUAUUUUAUACAAAAAGGCUACACAAUGUUACACUUUAUUCAGAUUACAAUUAGAGUGAUUAUGAAUUAGUGUUCUACACCAUUACUCAAUUCUUAAAAAUUAGAAAUUGCUGUAGCAGUAUUCACUAUAACUUAAGACUACAAGACUUAAAAAACUAACAGUUACUGCAAAAAAAAUUAAAGAGCUACUUCAAAGCAAGCAAAGUCAGUACCAUUACAGAUAUUAAAAAAAAUUUUAACAAGCAAGGCUAGAGUUUGAUAAAUUCCAUCCUGUGAUCCAUUCUUGUGCAUUCUUCACUUCUUGAGUCACUCCCAAAAUCCAUUUGUAUUGUUACUCCUCGACCAAAAAGGACCAGAACAAAAAGUUUACUUCAAUUGUUCCCAUAGGAAACUCAGCUUGGUUAGUGUGUCAGGCACUUUCUGAGAUACCAGCCCACCCCUCGAGCCCUCUCAGCAACUCUACAGGCCAAUCACAAUGCAAGUUCAGACAAUACCGCUGUAUAAAGAGAGAAAGGCUGCUAUUAAUGUUUAAAACAGCAAAUGUUACUCGUUUGAGUAUUAAGUUGCAAAA